UACGGAGGGAGCUAGCGUUGUUCGGAAUUACUGGGCGUAAAGCGCGCGUAGGCGGCUUUGUAAGUUAGAGGUGAAAGCCCGGGGCUCAACCCCGGAAUUGCCUUUAAGACUGCAUCGCUAGAAUCCAGGAGAGGUGAGUGGAAUUCCGAGUGUAGAGGUGAAAUUCGUAGAUAUUCGGAAGAACACCAGUGGCGAAGGCGGCUCACUGGACUGGUAUUGACGCGUGAGGUGCGAAAGCGUGGGGAGCAAACAGG
rnacentral:rRNA from 1 species